AUACGGAGGAUCCGAGCGUUAUCCGGAUUUAUUGGGUUUAAAGGGAGCGUAGGCGGACGCUUAAGUCAGUUGUGAAAGUUUGCGGCUCAACCGUAAAAUUGCAGUUGAUACUGGGUGUCUUGAGUACAGUAGAGGCAGGCGGGAUUAGGGGUGGUGCGGGGAAAUGCUUAGAUAUCACGAAGAACUCCGAUUGCGAAGGCAGCCUGCUGGACUGUAACUGACGCUGAUGCUCGAAAGUGUGGGUAUCAAACAGGAUUAGAUACCCUGGUAGUCCACACAGUAAACGAUGAAUACUCGCUGUUUGCGAUAUACAGUAAGCGGCCAAGCGAAAGCGUUAAGUAUUCCACCUGGGGAGUACGCCGGCAACGGUGAAACUCAAAUGAAUGGGCGGGG
rnacentral:rRNA from 1 species